rnacentral:rRNA from 1 species
GCUUGUCUCAAAGAUUAAGCCAUGCAUGUCUUAGUGUAAAUAACUCUUAUGAAACUGCGAAUGGCUCAUUAAAUCAGUUAUAGUUUAUUUGAUGGUACCUACUACUCGGAUAACCGUAGUAAUUCUAGAGCUAAUACGUGCGUAAAUCCCGACUCCUGGAAGGGACGUAUUUAUUAGAUUUAAGGCCAACCGAGCUUGCUCGUCUCUUGGUGAAUCAUGAUAACUUCACGAAUCGCAUGGCCUCGUGCCGGCGAUGUUUCAUUCAAAUUUCUGCCCUAUCAACUUUCAACCGUAAGGUAGUGGCCUACGGUGGUGGUAACGGGUGACGGAGGAUUAGGGUUCGAUUCCGGAGAGGGAGCCUGAGAAACGGCUACCACAUCCAAGGAAGGCAGCAGG